rnacentral:rRNA from 1 species
GGUUAAGCGACUAAGCGUACACGGUGGAUGCCCUGGCAGUCAGAGGCGAUGAAGGACGUGCUAAUCUGCGAUAAGCGUCGAUGAGGUGAUAUGAACCGUUAUAACCGGCGAUUUCCGAAUGGGGAAACCCAGUGUGUUUCGACACACUAUCAUUAACUGAAUCCAUAGGUUAAUGAGGCGAACCGGGGGAACUGAAACAUCUAAGUACCCCGAGGAAAAGAAAUCAACCGAGAUUCCCCCAGUAGCGGCGAGCGAACGGGGAGGAGCCCAGAGCCUGAAUCAGUGUGUGU